AACGAACGCUGGCGGCAGGCCUAACACAUGCAAGUCGAACGCCCUAGCAAUAGGGAGUGGCAGACGGGUGAGUAACGCGUGGGAACGUGCCUUUCGGUUCGGAAUAACUCAGGGAAACUUGAGCUAAUACCGGAUACGCCCUUCGGGGGAAAGAUUUAUUGCCGAAAGAUCGGCCCGCGUCCGAUUAGCUAGUUGGUGUGGUAAUGGCGCACCAAGGCGACGAUCGGUAACUGGUCUGAGAGGAUGAUCAGCCACACUGGGACUGAGACACGGCCCAGACUCCUACGGGAGGCAGCAGUGGGGAAUAUUGGACAAUGGGCGCAAGCCUGAUCCAGCCAUGCCGCGUGAGUGAUGAAGGCCCUAGGGUUGUAAAGCUCUUUCGCCAGGGACGAUAAUGACGGUACCUGGAUAAGAAGCCCCGGCUAACUUCGUGCCAGCCGCCGCCGUAAUAC
rnacentral:rRNA from 1 species